AAAGACUACUAUAAAGUUUUAAUUAGUAAGGCUGGGAGAGAAAAACAAAAAUAAAAAUACUAAAUAUAGGAGCCAGGUAUGGUGGAACACACUUGUAAUAUCAGUGCAUGGCGGGUAGAGCAGAAAGAUCAGGAGUUCCAAGCCAGUGCUAUAGCCAGUUAGCAAAUUCAAGGCCAGCUUGGUCUCCAUGAGACCUGAUCUAAAGACGUCAACAAAACAUAAAGAUAUACUAUAUACUCUAUACCAAACUUUACUUAAGGAUUAGAAGUAGGAUUUGUAAUGUAAAAUCAUACUUUUGAGCCAAAAAUUACCACAGCUUCUUUGUAAACAAAACAAACCAAAAGAAAAAAAAAUAUCAAUUCUAGUUUUUCAAUUCAUCAGUUCUUAUGCGGUCUUAUUGACUGUAGUCCGUUUGUGUGUGUAUAAAUACCAGUGCACUUGACUUUGUUUCUGAGGACAUAUUUGCAUGUUUAUGUGUAUGUGGGUGUGCACAUAUUUGCAGAUGUGCCUGCAUGUGUGUGCAUGUGCGUUUGGAGGCCAGAUGUCAGCCAAUGGUGUUCUCAAGAGCCACCUACCGUGUGUUUUCAGAUAGGGUUUCACUAGGGCCUGCAGCUUACUGAUACUGCUAGCCUGGUUGGCUGGUCAGGGAUGCUGCUGUCUCUUUCCCAGCACUGGGACUAAAGGCAUACUUACCAUCAUGCCCAGAUACAUACAUGGGUGGGCAUCAGACUCAGACUUUCAUGCUUCUGUAGCAAGCAUUUUACUGAUAGAGCCAUCUCCCUAGCAUAUGUGUUAUAAAAGAUUCCAGGCAAGUUUCAAAUGAAAGCUUUUCUUCAUUUGUACCCUGUUUAGCUUUUAAUACAGCUAAAGAUGUCUGUCUUAUUUUCUAUCUAUUUGCUGAGUGGCUAUGUUUAUUUAGUGCUGUUUUCAUAUGUAAGCAAGAACAUAAAGGGGCCUCUGGUAGGCCCCUUCUGUGCAUUGCUGGCCCCUGGUGGCCUCUUCCUUGUAGCACAAUUGAAACCAAGAGGAGUUCUUUCCUGCCUGGGAGUAACCUCAUUAGCCAGAGGAAGAUUUUGAUUGUUCAUGGAAGGAAUGUUUUUCUUCUGUGUUAGAACAGAUUUAAACAUAACACUUGAAUUCCAGUAAUCACUUUCAGAAUGUUAGUUAAAAGCAACCUGCGUGUAGGGAGAAACUGUUUCUUACAGUCCCUUUCUGAGAAACCCAGCUGCUCAGAAUCUCCCCGGUCAUCUCAUUCUUCCAAGUCGUCCUCCAAAGAG
rnacentral:lncRNA from 1 species